UACAAACAAGCCUCGUUUUGAAGAACACGCCAACAACAACACACAUUUGAUAAGGACAAAGAGACGAAACAACGAAGAAAUAGUUGUUUAGAAACAUGUCAAGAGGAAAUGACUCUCGAAUUUACGUAGGGAAUCUUCCACCUGACAUAAGAGCUAGAGACAUCGAAGAUUUAUUUUACAAAUUUGGGAGAAUUACAUUUGUUGACUUGAAAACAAGACGUGGACCGCCAUUUUGUUUUGUAGAAUUUGAGGACCCUAGAGAUGCAUCAGACGCUGUCCACGAGAGAGAUGGUUACAACUACGACGGAUAUACACUGAGGGUUGAGUUUCCACGAGGUGGAGGACCAGGUGGGCCAAGAUCAGGUGGAGGUGGUGGUGGCUACGGUUUCCGUGGGGGCAGUAGGGGCCUGUCUGGUGGACGAGGAGGUCCACCAUCAAGAAGAUCUGAAUACAGAGUGCUUGUAUCUGGAUUACCACCAUCUGGGAGCUGGCAGGAUUUGAAAGAUCACAUGAGGGAAGCUGGAGAUGUAUGUUAUGCAGAUGUGUACAAAGAUGGAACUGGAGUUGUUGAAUUUCUUAGGAAAGAGGACAUGAAAUAUGCUGUUCGCAAACUAGAUGAUUCCAAGUUUAGGUCUCAUGAGGGAGAAGUGUCUUACAUCCGUGUGAAAGAAGAUUACAGAGGAGGUGGAGGAAGGUCAAGGUCCCGCAGCAGAAGUAUCACACCCCCAAGACGGUCACGGGCGUCCCCAAGAUAUUCACCAGUCAGGAAUAGAUCACGAUCAUAAAAUAAAUUGUGAAGAGUGAUGCAAAAAUUCAGAAGAAACGAAAAUGGCCAAGCAGUUAAAUCAUAUCUUGGAUGACUGUUUAUGGUUUUUGCUCUGUGGGAAAGUUUGGAUCAUUAUGAUGUCAAGCUUGGAUAUUUAGGAUAACAAGCUUGGAUGAAUUGGAUUUAUCAUGUUUGGAUAAUAGGAUGCAAACAUGGAUAAUUAGGAUAACUAUCUUGGAUCUUUGGGAUCAAGGGAUCAGGAUUUGGAAAAAAAAUUUCAGUCCCCUCUCAGUUUAAGGAAUCUCUGGAUGGAUCCUUAGAAUCUAACUGGAAUUAUUUUGGAAUUCGGGAAUCCAUCUAUUAGGCAAAAAUAAUCAUCAGGUUUAAGAUUUGAAAUCCGUAGAUAUCAAAGGUUUGGCGGUAAACAAUAUUGCUUCACUAUGCAAUAAACAGACCAUGCACAAAUGGCCAUAUUUAAUGCAAAUAUUGAAGCAUUAUUGUUUACAGUCACUUCAUUACUGAAUACACAUCAUUUAUGGAAGGAGUGUUCUCAACCCCUCAGCACAGGAUGAUUCUGCGCUGGGAUUUAGUUUCUCACUAUUCUUCUGUUCUGUUAAAAUGGAUCACAGGUUCUGGAAAGGAGGAAAGGAACAGGAACAGAUCAAUUCAAGCUACAUCUGAAGUAGGAGGAUGGAAGGAAAUUGUGUCCUAUGAAAAAUUAUAGUUAAAGUUUAUUUUUAAAAAAAAAAGUUAUCUUUUUUUGAAUUCCGAUAAAGAAAUCAUUGGCAAAAAAUUUGCAAAGCAUUUCUAAAGUUCAAUUCAUGUACAACUUGAUGUCUUUGGAGUGUCGGCAGUACGUUAUGAGUUUGCGGUUAAAGUUGGACUUUGCGUUUACUUUUCUCGGAGUCUAGGAUGUUUGUCUUGAAAUUCUGAGGAGGAUUCUAGUUGGAGUUACCCUUAGAUAGGGAUUUGGUAAGUGGUGGAAGUUUUUGAUCAAUGGCCGAUUUUAAGGGUUGGUCCAUUAAUGGGGGUGGGUCAAGAGAAAAAAUUAAGGAAAGUGUUCAUUUUCUUCAGCAUCCUAUAGUAAUUUCCUUUACGCAACAUGAGACUUUAUUAAAAAAAGAAAAUGUGUGCAUUAAGGUUUUUUUUCUCUAUAUUUAUUAACCAUGCUUUUUUUACAGCAUAAUCAAUAAAAAAUCUUCAAAAAUUA